rnacentral:tRNA from 1 species
GCCCGGUUAGCUCAGCUGGAUAGAGCGUUGGCCUCCGGAGCCAAAGGCCGCAGGUUCGAAUCCUGCACCGGGCA